rnacentral:rRNA from 1 species
GACGAACGCUGGCGGCGUGCUUAACACAUGCAAGUCGAGCGGUAAGGCCCUUUCGGGGGUACACGAGCGGCGAACGGGUGAGUAACACGUGGGUGACCUGCCUUUAGCUCUGGGAUAAGCCUGGGAAACCGGGUCUAAUACCGGAUAUGACUCCGCGGCGCAUGUUGUGGGGUGGAAAGCCUUGUGCGGCUGGAGAUGGGCCCGCGGCCUAUCAGCUUGUUGGUGGGGUGAUGGCCUACCAAGGCGACGACGGGUAGCCGGCCUGAGAGGCGACCGGCCACACUGGGACUGAGACACGGCCCAGACUCCUACGGGAGGCAGCAGUGGGGAAUAUUGGCCAAUGGGCGG